rnacentral:rRNA from 1 species
UACGUAGGGUGCGAGCGUUAAUCGGAAUUACUGGGCGUAAAGCGUGCGCAGGCGGUUUUGUAAGCCAGAUGUGAAAUCCCCGGGCUUAACCUGGGAAUGGCAUUUGGGACUGCAAGGCUGGAGUGCGGCAGAGGAGACUGGAAUUCCGGGUGGAGCGGUGAAAUGCGUAGAGAUCCGGAGGAACACCGACGGCGUAGGCAGCGCCCUGGACGACACCUGACGCUGAGGCACGAAAGCUGGGGGAGCGAACAGG